UACUGUCUGGACAAGAGAUACUGAGAGUCUGAGCUGAGGCAACAGCUAUGGGGAAGAGAGAAAGGCAUAGAUUUGGGAAAUAUUAAGGUUACAAUAUCCAUACAGUUUAGGGCUUCCCUGGUAGCACAGUGGUUAAGAAUCCGCCUGCCAAUGCAGGGGACACAGGUUCGAGCCCUGGUCCAGGAAGACCCCACAUGCCGCAGAGCAACUAAGCCCAUGUGCCACAACUACUGAGCCUGUGCUCUAGAGCUCGCGAGCCACAACUACUGGGCCUGCGUGCUACAACUACUGAAGCCCACGUGCCCAGAGCCCAUGCUCCACAACAAGAGAAGCCACAGCAAUGAGAAGCCUGUGCUGCAACAAAGAGUAGCCCCCAUUCACUGCAACUAGAGUAACAAAGACCCGAUGGAGCCAAAAAAAAACUACAAUGAGAUAUUACCUCACACCAGUCAGAAUGGCUAUCAUCAAAAAAUCCACAAACAGGUACUUCCCUGUUGGUCCAGUGGUUAAGACUCCGUGCUUCUAAUGCAGGUGGCAUGGGUUUGAACUAGGAUCCCACAUGCUGUGAGGCUUAAAAAAAUAAAAAAGAUCCACAAACAAUAAAUGCUGGAGAGGGUGUGGAAAGAAGGGAACCCUCCUACACUGUUGGUGGGAAUGUAAAUUGGUGCAGCCACUAUGGAAAACAGUAUGGACGUUCCUUAAGAAACUAAAACUAGAGCUACCACAUGAUCCUGCAAUCCCACUCUUGGGCAUAUACCCAGAGAAAAACAUGGUCCCAAAGAAUACAUGGACCCCAAUGUUCAUUGCAGUGCUGUUUACAAUAGCCAAGACAUGGAAGCAACCUAAAUGUCCAUUGAUACAAGAAUGGAUAAAGAAGAUAUGGCACAUAUAUACAAUGGAUGGGCUUCCCUGGUGGCGCAGUGGUUAAGAAUCUGCCUGCCAAUGCAGGGGACAUGGGUUCGAGCCCUGGUCUGGGAAGAUCCCACAUGCUACAGAGCAACUAAGCCCAUGCAUCACAACUACUGAGCCUGUGCUCUAGAGCCUGAGCCACAACUGCUGAAGCCUGCGCACCUAGAGCCUGUGCGCUGCAACAAGGGAAGCCACUGCAAUGAGAAGCUUGCACACCACAACAAAGAGUAGGCCCCACUCGCAACUUGAGAAAGCCCGCACACAGCAACAAAGAUCCAAUGCAGCCAAAAAUAAAUAAAUAAAAUAAAUUUAUUAAAAAAAAUAAAGAGGGGCAUUUUAUAAAGAUAAAGAGUCAGUAUAUCAGGAAAUGACAGCAGUUCUGUGAGAGAGAUUUAUACCUAUAAAUGCAUACAUUAAAAAAGAAGAAAGAUCUCAGUAACCUACCUGGACACCUUAAGGAAUUAGAAGAACAAACUAAACACAAAGCUGGUAGAAGGAAGGAAAUAACAAAGAUUAAAGCAGAGAUAAGUGAAAUAGAGAAAAGAAAAGAAAAUAGAGAAAUUCAAUGAAACCAAAAGUCAGUUCUUUGAAAAGAUCAAUAAAAUCGACAAACUUCAGCUAAGGGAAAAAAAAAAGACUAAAAAAAAAAGAAGACUAAAAUGACUAAAAUUGGAAAUAAAAGUGAAGACAUUACUACCAAUUAUACAGAAAUAAAAAGGAUUAUAAGAGAAUACUAUGAACAGUUGUAUGCCAACAAAUUGGAUGACCAAGAGCAAAUAUUAUACUCAAUAGUGAAAGAACUAAAAAGCUUUCCCCUAAGAUCAGAAAUGAGACAGCAUGCCCAGUUUUGUCACUUCUACUGGAAGUUUUAGCCAGAGCAAUUAGACAAGAAAAAGAAAUAAAAGCCAUCCAAAUUGGAAAGGAAGAAGUAAAAUCAUCUCUAUUCACAGAUGACAUGAUCUUAAAUGUAGAAAACCCUAUAUAUUCCAUACACACACAAAAAUGUUAAUAAACAAAUUUAGCAAAGUUUCAGGAUACAAAAGUCAACACAAAAAUCAGUUGCAUUUUAUACACUAGCACUAAACAAUAUGAAAAGGAAAUUAAGGGGAAAAAUUCCACUUACAAUAAUAUACAGAAGAAUAAAAUAUUUAGGAAUAAACCUAACCAAGGAGGUGAAACACUUGUAUGCUGAGACCUAAACCAUUGCUGAGGGGACUUCCCUGGUGAUCCAGUGGUUAAGACUCUGUGCUUCCAGUGCAGGGGGUGUGGGUUCAAUCCCUAGUUAGGGAACUAAGAUCCCACAUGCUAUGUGGCAUGGCCAAUCAAUCAACCAAUCAAUCAUUGCUGAAAAGAAUUAAGAUAUAAAUAAAUGCAAAGUUCUAUGGUCUGAAUGUUUGUAUUCCCCAAAUUUCAUACAGUAAAAUCCCACGAGCGACUUCCCUGGUAGCGCAGUGGUUAAGACUCCGUGCUCCCAAUGCAGGGGGCCCAGGUUCAAUCCCUGGUCAGGGAACUAGAUCCCACAUGCAUGCCACAACUAAGAGUUUGCAUGCCACAACUAAGGAGCCCACAUGCCGCAACUAAGGAGCCCGCCUACUUCAACUAAGACCCAGUGCAACGAAAUAAAUAAAUAAAUAUAUAAAAGAAAUAAUCAUUUAAAAAAUAAACUAAAAAAUAAAA